GCAUGAAAUAACAAAGGUAGCACAAAAGGAUGGGAAGAGGAAUUCGAUGAGAUCGUGUAGACGCCCCCGGGGAUCAAUUCCUAAAUGCCGAAAGCCUUGCUCAACGUGUCACCUCUUUAUGUCUUCUGAGGACAGAAUCCAUUAGUAGAGAAAGGAGGGCUGUGUGACCUGGGGUAAGGCAAACGGCUACUAAUAGUCCACCUUGUACUGGUUAUUCAUUAAGCCCCAGGGUGCCCUUAUAAGAUGGACAGACACAGCAUAUGAUCUAAAGUCCGGAUCAGUUACUUCACCCAAAUCGUCAGUGUUGUUGGUUAUAGAAGGAUCUGAACCCCAUUCCUACAGCUUUAGAAAUGGCUAAACUUGUGACUAAACUUUGCUUUUCUUCUUA
rnacentral:sRNA from 1 species